AACGAACGUUAGCGGCGCGCCUAACACAUGCAAGUCGCACGAGAAAGGGCUUCGGCCCCGGUAAAGUGGCGCACGGGUGAGUAACACGUAGGUCAUCUACCCUCGAGUGGGGGACAACCCUCCGAAAGGAGGGCUAAUACCGCAUGACGCCAGCAAUGGCCAAAGCGGGCCUCUCCAUGGAAGCUCGCGCUUGAGGAUGAGCCUGCGGCCCAUCAGCUAGUUGGCGGGGUAACGGCCCACCAAGGCAAAGACGGGUAGCUGGUCUAAGAGGAUGAACAGCCACACUGGAACUGAGACACGGUCCAGACUCCUACGGGAGGCAG
rnacentral:rRNA from 1 species